UACGUAGGGACCGAGCGUUGUCCGGAUUCAUUGGGCGUAAAGAGCUCGUAGGCGGCUGUUCAAGUCGAACGUGAAAACUCGGAGCUCAACUCCGAGCCUGCGUUCGAUACUGGACGGCUAGAGUCUGGUAGGGGGAUCUGGAAUUCCUGGUGUAGCGGUGAAAUGCGCAGAUAUCAGGAGGAACACCAAUUGCGAAGGCAGCUCGCUGGGACGUUACUGACGCUGAGACGCGAAAGCGUGGGGAGCAAACAGG
rnacentral:rRNA from 1 species